GAUUUGUUAUUUGUGCAUCUUUUGUUUUUAUUUGCAUUUUAUAUUCUUCUAUUUCUUUUGUUAGAUUUUCUAGAAGAACGUUGUUCUUUGAAAGUGCACUGUUAAUGUCAUCAUAUUUUUUUGUUUUUUCAUCUUGUUCAACGGAAUUGGUAAUUGCCUUUGGGGACUCCGUAGUUCUUGAUCGUUUGGCUAAUUGGGUGUUAUCUUCUGACUCUUUAUCCUUUUGCCUCUGCAGUAAGUGCAAUCCCAGUUCUUUUUGACAUUGUUGGACAUUUUUCUAUAAGUGCUUUGGGAUAUAGAGGAACAUUCGAAGUGGAGUUUGCCCUUGCAUUUUGAACAAGUUAUGUAGUCACCAUCUAGGGGCAGGGGAUCUUCGCACCGCAAACACUUACUCAUUUUUUACUAAAAAAGCAAUAAACGUUAACUUACUAAAAAUUUGGUUGAUAUGUGUAAAGUUGUGAUCCUUUGUUUUCAAUUAAAUUAUUAUAAAAUAAAAUAAAAUUUAUUGGC